GACGAACGCUGGCGGCGUGCUUAACACAUGCAAGUCGAACGGAAAGGCCCUGCUUUUGUGGGGUGCUCGAGUGGCGAACGGGUGAGUAACACGUGAGUAACCUGCCCUUGACUUUGGGAUAACUUCAGGAAACUGGGGCUAAUACCGGAUAGGAGCUCCUGCUGCAUGGUGGGGGUUGGAAAGUUUCGGCGGUUGGGGAUGGACUCGCGGCUUAUCAGCUUGUUGGUGGGGUAGUGGCUUACCAAGGCUUUGACGGGUAGCCGGCCUGAGAGGGUGACCAGCCACAUUGGGACUGAGAUACGGCCCAGACUCCUACGGGAGGCAGCAGUGGGGAAUAUUGCACAAUGGGCGGAAGCCUGAUGCAGCAACGCCGCGUGCGGGAUGACGGCCUUCGGGUUGUAAACCGCUUUCGCCUGUGACGAAGCGUGAGUGACGGUAAUGGGUAAAGAAGCACCGGCUAACUACGUGCCAGCAGCCGCGGUGAUACGUAGGGUGCGAGCGUUGUCCGGAUUUAUUGGGCGUAAAGGGCUCGUAGGUGGUUGAUCGCGUCGGAAGUGUAAUCUUGGGGCUUAACCCUGAGCGUACUUUCGAUACGGGUUGACUUGAGGAAGGUAGGGGAGAAUGGAGUUCCUGGUGGAGCGGUGGAAUGCGCAGAUAUCAGGAGGAACACCAGUGGCGAAGGCGGUUCUCUGGGCCUUUCCUGACGCUGAGGAGCGAAAGCGUGGGGAGCGAACAGGCUUAGAUACCCUGGUAGUCCACGCUGUAAACGGUGGGUACUAGGUGUGGGGUCCAUUCCACGGGUUCCGUGCCGUAGCUAACGCUUUAAGUACCCCGCCUGGGGAGUACGGCCGCAAGGCUAAAACUCAAAGGAAUUGACGGGGCCCCGCACAAGCGGCGGAGCAUGCGGAUUAAUUCGAUGCAACGCGUAGAACCUUACCUGGGUUUGACAUGGAUCGGGAGUGCUCAGAGAUGGGUGUGCCUCUUUUGGGGUCGGUUCACAGGUGGUGCAUGGCUGUCGUCAGCUCGUGUCGUGAGAUGUUGGGUUAAGUCCCGCAACGAGCGCAACCCUUGUUCACUGUUGCCAGCACGUUAUGGUGGGGACUCAGUGGAGACCGCCGGGGUCAACUCGGAGGAAGGUGGGGAUGACGUCAAGUCAUCAUGCCCCUUAUGUCCAGGGCUUCACGCAUGCUACAAUGGCUGGUACAGAGAGUGGCGAGCCUGUGAGGGUGAGCGAAUCUCGGAAAGCCGGUCUCAGUUCGGAUUGGGGUCUGCAACUCGACCUCAUGAAGUCGGAGUCGCUAGUAAUCGCAGAUCAGCAACGCUGCGGUGAAUACGUUCCCGGGGCU
rnacentral:rRNA from 1 species